UCUCAGCAAGGUGGUCCUGUAAUGUCCUGGGACUUGGAUGCAAUCAGUACGUUGUCAUCCACAAACACCAGAGCCUACAGGAACUCAUCUCUUCUAUUUAGACUCGUGAAAGGCAUCCUCCAUGACAGUGGUGAACUCCUUCGGUCUCAAGUUUCCACCUCCUUCACCUAGAAGAGAAAAGAACAAAGGAAAAACCCCAGGACAGAGGUAUCUUUCUUGGGGCCAUGUGGCCUCAGAAGGGAAGAAGCCCAAAGGCCUCUCCCCUUAAAGCUUGGUCUCUCACCAAAUGCCUUGAAUGAAGGGAGUCACCAAAUAAAGCCGUAAGAGUGAAUAAAGCCAGAAAGAGAAUGAUCAACUUCUUGCAGAUUCCCUGUGCGCUCUCUUUAAAUGGUGGAGUAUCUGGGAGGAGCUCUCUAAUACCCAACCUCUAUUAUCUACAGUCAAGGGGCGGAAGAUCCCAAUGGUCAGGCGAAGAGGUGUAAGGAGUAUGAGGAGAAUAUAACCAAUCCAUGGCUACCCAUCCACGGCUGCCUAUCCUCAUUGCUUGAAUACAAAGCAACCAUGAAGAGCUCCAGGGGUGAUAAGAGUUUUGGCUGGUAGAUCACAAUCAUUGAUCCAUCCAUACAUUGGAAAGAGCUUCACUCAGAUGAAUCAACUGAAGGUAUCCUCAAUGUGUGUCCACCUCUCGUGUUCAAUAAACUAUGGUGGCUCCC